rnacentral:rRNA from 1 species
CAGUAGCCGCGGUAAUACGUAGGUGGCAAGCGUUGUCCGGAAUUAUUGGGCGUAAAGGGCUCGCAGGCGGUUUCUUAAGUCUGAUGUGAAAGCCCCCGGCUCAACCGGGGAGGGUCAUUGGAAACUGGGAAACUUGAGUGCAGAAGCGGAGAGUGGAAUUCCACGUGUAGCGGUGAAAUGCGUAGAGAUGUGGAGGAACACCAGUGGCGAAGGCGACUCUCUGGUCUGUAACUGACGCUGAGGAGCGAAAGCGUGGGGAGCGAACAGGAUUAGAUACCCCGGUAGUCCCUGUCUCUUAUAC